UUACUGUUUUUGUCAGAGGACCGAACGCAGAUUAGAAACGGGUCGCGCGGGCGACGAGAGACGAGAACAACGACAUGAUAAAAUUUCACACGCACUCGAAAUUUCGACGUACAGUUUCGGUCGUCGCGAACGACGGAAGCGCUACUGGCGGGUACGGCCCGCGACGUUAUCGUCACCGCAAUUGGGUUUCUAAUGUUUUUAUGUUAUAAAGGUAGUGUUUUUUUUUGUUUUACGCACUCGCGAGAUCGUCAAAAACAAAAAUAUCGAUAUCGUAAUGAGCGAAUCACCGGUUUGGUAGCUUACGAUGAUUUCCUUUUCACGAACUACGGCGACGACGACAGCCUCGGCGGCUUGGCGAAAUAUACGACGACCACUGUGUGGAGUUCAAACUCUGAAUAGUAACGUGUACAAAUAAAUUAUUUUGAGUCUAAAAGAAAAAUAAAAACAAUUGGAAUAUAACAAUAGAAAGAAUUUAUUUAUCAAGGGUAUUUAUCAGCCUUCUACUUAAUCCAUCUUUAUAGUCCAAGUUACAGUUCAAAAUAUAGUUAUUUUCAGAUUCGGAUUAAAUUAUGAUACAGUCAUGUUGGUUUUCAGAAGUAUCGAGUAUAAGCAAUGAAUAUGUUUCAAGUAUACAACUGAGAUGCCUCGCAGACAAUCAAGAAUAAAGUAAUGAACUAAUUACAUUUAAUUUCAACAUCGGUUUAAAAUUGAACUGGCCAAUAUAGUUAAACAAAAACUAUUAAUUAAUUUUGUGAUAUUUAUUUUUGUUUAUCUACAACUCCUGAUUAUUAUUUUUUUAA